rnacentral:rRNA from 1 species
UACGUAGGGGGCAAGCGUUGUCCGGAAUUAUUGGGCGUAAAGAGCUCGUAGGCGGCUUGUCACGUCGGAUGUGAAAGCCCGGGGCUUAACUCCGGGUCUGCAUUCGAUACGGGCUAGCUAGAGUGUGGUAGGGGAGAUCGGAAUUCCUGGUGUAGCGGUGAAAUGCGCAGAUAUCAGGAGGAACACCGGUGGCGAAGGCGGAUCUCUGGGCCAUUACUGACGCUGAGGAGCGAAAGCGUGGGGAGCGAACAGG